AUUGAACUCUGGCGGCAGGCCUAACACAUGCAAGUCGAACGAGUGGCGGACGGGUGCGUAAUGUCUGGGAAACUGCCUGAUGGAGGGUGAUAACUACUGGCAACUGUAGCUAAUACCGCAUACCAUCGGAUGUUCCCAGAUGGGAUUAGCUAGUAGGUGGGGUAAAGGCUCACCUAGGCGACGAUCCCUAGCUGGUCUGAGAGGAUGACCAGCCACACUGGAACUGAGACACGGUCCAGACUCAUACGGGAGGCAGCAGUGGGGAAUAUUGCACAAUGGGCGCAAGCCUGAUGCAGCCAUGCCGCGUGUGUGAAGAAGGCCUUCGGGUUGUAAAGUACUUUCAGCGAGGAGGCGUUACUCGCAGAAGAAGCACCGGCUAACUCCGUGCCAGCAGCCGCGGUAAUAC
rnacentral:rRNA from 1 species